CAGCAUCAGUUUUGAUCGUUGGAUAAAGUUCGAGGGAAUGUGGCAUCUUCGGAUGUGUUAUAGCCUUCGUUCGUAUACAAGCGGUUGGGACUGAGGAACUCAGCACGCCGAAAGGCCGGGUUUUUAACCACGUACGUGCUUAGGAUGCUGGCAUAAUGGCUUUAAUCGA
rnacentral:rRNA from 1 species